GGAGAGAUGGCCGAGUGGUUGAAGGCGCACGAUUGGAAAUCGUGUAUACGUUAAUAGCGUAUCGAGGGUUCGAAUCCCUCUUUCUCCGCCA
rnacentral:tRNA from 1 species